ACUCCCUUAGUAUAAUUAGUACAGCUGACUUCCAAUCAACUAGACCCGAUUAGAUCCGGGAGGGAGUA
rnacentral:tRNA from 1 species